UAUGAAUGAAAUUAGCCAGGGAGAAGGUGAGCAGCAAGAAAGCCCUGGACUCUAAGCUUUAAGGACAAGCAGCAGAGGAGGAAUCUGCAGAGGAGACCCCAAAGGAGUGGCCACAGAGGAAGGAGGAGAGCAGCAGGUGUCUCUGAAGUUGCAGGGAGAGACUGUUUAAGGAGAGAUGGUGAGGGACAGUAGGUGCUGCUGCAGGGUGAGGUGAGACUUGGGUUAAAAUGGAGACAUGCGGGCCACUGGUGCUGUCAGUGGGAGCUGUUUUGGUGAUUCAGAGGGGUGGGAGUCCACACAGGGAUGGGUUGAUGAAUGAUGGGAAGUGCUACGAUGUGAAUGUUUGUUUUAUGGUAUUUUUUAAUAGCAGCCUGAACAGACUAGGAUAGAAAGUAAGAAGAUGAAGACAACAUAGUGUAGGCAGCUAUUUUGAAAAGUGGAGGAGUAAAAAAGGGGAAAGAG
rnacentral:lncRNA from 10 species